rnacentral:lncRNA from 1 species
AAUAAAAUUAAUUUUUUUAAAAAGACACACAUGAAAGUGCAGCCCCACUUAUACCAACAAUAUCUUAUAGAGAAAAGAACAUCCUAACUAUUCAGUUAAUAGUGGUUAGUCAAGCAUUUGUUACUUGAUCUCUACAAAUAACAUAUUAAUUAAUCAUAAAAGACAAAACAUCCAUAACCAGAGUUACAUUAGUAAGUUUGUAUACAC